rnacentral:rRNA from 2 species
CAAGUCGAACGCGUUGGCCCAAUUGAUUGAUGGUGCUUGCACCUGAUUGAUUUUGGUCGCCAACGAGUGGCGGACGGGUGAGUAACACGUAGGUAACCUGCCCAGAAGCGGGGGACAACAUUUGGAAACAGAUGCUAAUACCGCAUAACAGCGUUGUUCGCAUGAACAACGCUUAAAAGAUGGCUUCUCGCUAUCACUUCUGGAUGGACCUGCGGUGCAUUAGCUUGUUGGUGGGGUAACGGCCUACCAAGGCGAUGAUGCAUAGCCGAGUUGAGAGACUGAUCGGCCACAAUGGGACUGAGACACGGCCCAUACUCCUACGGGAGGCAGCAGUAGGGAAUCUUCCACAAUGGGCGCAAGCCUGAUGGAGCAACACCGCGUGAGUGAAGAAGGGUUUCGGCUCGUAAAGCUCUGUUGUUAAAGAAGAACACGUAUGAGAGUAACUGUUCAUACGUUGACGGUAUUUAACCAGAAAGUCACGGCUAACUACGUGCCAGCAGCCGCGGUAAUACGUAGGUGGCAAGCGUUAUCCGGAUUUAUUGGGCGUAAAGAGAGUGCAGGCGGUUUUCUAAGUCUGAUGUGAAAGCCUUCGGCUUAACCGGAGAAGUGCAUCGGAAACUGGAUAACUUGAGUGCAGAAGAGGGUAGUGGAACUCCAUGUGUAGCGGUGGAAUGCGUAGAUAUAUGGAAGAACACCAGUGGCGAAGGCGGCUACCUGGUCUGCAACUGACGCUGAGACUCGAAAGCAUGGGUAGCGAACAGGAUUAGAUACCCUGGUAGUCCAUGCCGUAAACGAUGAGUGCUAGGUGUUGGAGGGUUUCCGCCCUUCAGUGCCGGAGCUAACGCAUUAAGCACUCCGCCUGGGGAGUACGACCGCAAGGUUGAAACUCAAAGGAAUUGACGGGGGC